UGGUGGAGAUGAAGAUACCGAUAAUAGUGAUAUCUAUAGUAGCGAAGAGAAUAUUGUGUGUGUAGCCUCUCAGUAAUCAGAGGUUAACUAUUUAAACAUGGUUGAGGACACAAAGUGGACAGUGGAGUGUGGGUGCCUGCUAGUGACACGGACAGCCGCCGCCGAGCAGUCUUUGGCUAACGUUGGGAUGGGGUGGAGAGAGACGAGAACCUAGGCAAGCUGAGGAGUUGAGAAUGGCAGCUGGACCAUUACUAGUCCAGACACCACGCACGUUACACCUCCUUUGCAGUUACUGUCACCACCGGCCCGUCGAGUCUACGCAGCUCAGGGUCUGUCUGUGCCUUGUCGGGAAUGACGUGUAGAGUAGCAGCGGGGAGCUUGCUCUACGUGAAGGAGAUUUUUCGCGUGGCAGAGUGACGUGUCUCUACUGUGUGAAGGCCAGCGGACCACAGUGUAGCACGGCACGGCACGUGCGGCACGGAGUUGGCUAUCCAAAGGCCUGACCACAGCGAUCCCAUGCCUCUUCACCAUCAGGGAGGGAUUCUGGCUUCGCACGGCGCCUUCAUUCAUGAACAACACCACCGCCGCUACUGCCUUCACUGCAGUCCCGGUAACACGUGCCGCCGUCGACGAUACUGCCACUGAGGGACCGCAUCGCAUCGCACCGCACCGCACCGCACCUCGACGCCCUGGCAAACGCCUGCUACCGCUGCUGCUGCCGCCGCCGCCGCCGCAGCAGCAGCAGCAGCAGCAGCAAGAAAGAUUCUGCAUGGCACCUUGACCUUGCGCGCCCAACUCGUACUGGUACUCGUGGUGGUGGUGGUGGUGGUGGUGGCCAGGAAGGGAAGAGUUGUGGGCUGGUGUGGCAAGUGUUCCCUCAAUCAUUGUGGUGUUGAUGUACUUUUUUUUUUAAACCAUGUUUUAGACAGGUAUGGUGGUGUGGUGCCAUUACUCCAUUGUAAUAAACUGUCUUCACUACCUCAUUGUGUUGUCAUGACUCUAAUAAAUUGUGAAGAAGUC